GCUAUCCCUGGGGCUUAAUGAUUGAACAAAAAGACUCCAUUGCUCAACUGCUCAUGAAGUUUCCUUGUGCAGGUGGGGACCAGGAUUGAACCUGGACCCUCAUGCAUGUGGCCAGCUACUCCAUGAGACCACCAUAUUCUUUGGAGCACUGAAAUCAAGAAAUCCAUUAUGGCUGCCAGCAACCAAAUUGGAAUUUCCAUUUCGUCUACUUCUAAUUGCCAAAGUAAAAAGCAACUAUAUUAUUGCAUAAAAUAAAUGUUAGCAGGUACCAGCCCCCUUUCUAUGAGAGAAAGCUUAACUUUAAUACAAAUAUCAUUUGGCUACUACUGUGGUACAAUAUGGCAAUUAAAAGAUGACUUCCAAUGUU